AGCAGUCGCCGCGGUAAUACGAAGGGUGCAAGCGUUACUCGGAAUUACUGGGCGUAAAGCGUGCGUAGGUGGUGGUUUAAGUCCGUUGUGAAAGCCCUGGGCUCAACCUGGGAAUUGCAGUGGAUACUGGGUCACUAGAGUGUGGUAGAGGAUAGUGGAAUUUCCGGUGUAGCAGUGAAAUGCGUAGAGAUCGGAAGGAACAUCUGUGGCGAAGGCGACUACCUGGGCCAAUACAGACACUGAGGCACGAAAGCGUGGGGAGCAAACAGGAUUAGAUACCCCAGUAGUCCCUGUCUCUUAUAC
rnacentral:rRNA from 1 species